UAAAAGGUUACCAUUUUUCACAUGAAAUUUUAUCUAAAAGGUCUUUUCACAUGCUACUUCAUCUAAAAGGUCACCACUUUUCACAUGCCACUUCAUCUAAAAGUUAUCACUUUCUCUAAUAUCACUUCAUCUAAAUGUUGCCACUUUUCAUGAUAUCAUUUUAUUUAAUAGUUACCACUUUUCAUUAUACCACUUCAUUUAAAAGGUUCC
rnacentral:lncRNA from 1 species